UACGGAGGAUCCAAGCGUUAUCCGGAUUCACUGGGUUUAAAGGGUGCGUAGGUGGAAUGACAAGUCAGUGGUGAAAACCUGCAGCUUAACUGUAGAACUGCCAUUGAUACUGUUAUUCUUGAGUACAUUUGAUGUGAGUGGAAUGUGUCGUGUAGCGGUGAAAUGCUUAGAUAUGACACAGAACACCAAUUGCGAAGGCAGCUCACAAAACUGUAACUGACACUGAGGCACGAAAGCUUGGGGAUCAAACAGG
rnacentral:rRNA from 1 species